UCAGAAUCAGAACACGCGCAAUCAUCCCACAAUGAGACCAUGACAGGCGAGAAUUCACACAAGAUUAACUACAUUCAAGACCAAGCAUUAACAGAGACAGUGAAGGGCAAUGAACAUCACUUAUCUACAAAUACUCUAGAAAGUAACAAGAAGAUCACCACACAGUAUUUGACAGAUAUGAGUAGCAAGUUUACACAAAAAAGAAGGGGGGAAAAGGGCUAUGUAGACCGAGAGGGAGCAAACUCAGCUAAAAGGUUUCAAUCAAGGCGGAUUACGGUGCAGAUCAGAGCAACAAGUUGAUCCUUCAUCAUGGAAAUGGAGCUAAGUCAAGCUGAAAAUAAAUGGAAGAUUAAGAGAGUAGAUAAAUCAGGGAAAGAAGCCAAAUGGAAGAGAAAAUUACCUGAGCAGAUUGAGCUUCAUCAUGGAGAACAAUGGAGGAAGAACAUCAAGAUUCAGAAGGGUAGCAUCAAAAUAGGGAAAUAUAGUUCAUGUGGGUACUUUCCAAAAAGAAACAUAUGCCCUAAAUGUAAGGGAUUGGAUAGUAG
rnacentral:lncRNA from 1 species